rnacentral:lncRNA from 1 species
GAAUAUGUGAUUUAUUUUUCUAUUUGAUUUGCAUUAUAGUGAUUUUGGAAAAACUGGGAUGACUGCAAGUGAUGAAGAGUGAUGACUACAGAAGUAGGUGAUAGAAGAGGAAAAAAAUAAGUGAUGAAGAGACCAGGUGUUGCUGACUGGAUUAACUGAAUUUCUGCAACUCAGCCCCUAUCAAAUGAAGUCCUGCAGGACACACUGAAGUAUAUGAGUGAAACUGAGCAUGUUCUUCAAAUUCUGCUGCUAAAUGAGAAUCCCAGACGUGAAGCUGGCUGUGCUCUCCUGGGGACGAGGGGACAACCUGUUAGAAGCAGACGUGGUUCUGGUAAGUGGCACUCUGAGCUUCUCUUGUGCAUACCCAGGGGAAAACUGAAAUCCUCCCUGCUGGAGGAGGACGCAUAUUUGAACCAAAAAAUUUGGCUCUGUCACAGCAGGAAUUACUUGCUGCCUUCAGCUGGGCAAAGCUGCACGUUUUGAAGCUAUUUUGAAAAUUAUGACUUAUUUUUAAUCCAGUGACUGCUGUAACAUAAAGUCUUGCAGAAAGCAGUUUCUUAUAGCGUAACAUUGAACUUCAAGGCUUUUUCCUGAGGUUCUCAUGGAUGGAAAACAUGUAAAUGGUAGC